UACACAGGAUAACUGUAUCCGUAACAUUCUCUGUUAAUUUAUUUUCUGGCCCUUCAAGAGAAAUAUAAGAAAUGUAUUUGUAAUAUGAAAUAUAAUUGCACUUAUUCCUGUUAUCAGUCAAGGUGAGACUGAACAUCAACAAGGAGCAGGAGAAACAGAGCUACUGGAGCAGAAUUAAGAAGGUGACCAUAUGCUACGACAUCCGGGCGAAUUACUUGGUUUAGAAGAAGCACGAAAGGAAGGCGAGACCUGGGAAACCUCACUGCUCUUUCGCUCCUAGCUGGAUUCACCAUCUGGUUACCUCGGUGGAAGCCAACAAUAUUCUCCAGUUGGAGCAGUUGGACGGUCGACCACUGAAAGCACUGACGCCCUACAUUUCGGUGAAGCCCAAUAGACAAAUUUACCGCUCCAAAUGACUUUAGGACCAUUGACUGUCCAAGUGCCCCAGGAGGUAUCCCAUCCACCAGAACCUGAGUUAUGCCCAACACCCAGAUGUCGAUCCACCUGAUGUCCUCCAUUACCAAGCACCCUCUAACUUAUCAUUACAUUGUCUACAGCUACAUAUCAUCGUCAUGUUGUCAUUAUCUAUCUUACUGUGCACAUAACAUGUGAGAUACACAGAUUAACUAAAAACACUAGCACUGGAAACACUCAGAACAAAGAAAGCAGCAGUGUCUGGACUUUGCAGUCUCCCUCUUCAAGUCCCCCUUCCGAGACUGGCUGCCUGUUGACAACAAGUGACAGGCAGAACAUCCGACACAGCAAAAUCCCACACAGCAACCACCUCGUCAAAAUUCCACACACCAGAAUUCAGUAUUUUAGUCUAUGAUUGUCAUGUGAGUGUAAAACAAAAUCUGU